rnacentral:rRNA from 1 species
UUUUAUGAGAGUUUGAUCCUGGCUCAGGACGAACGCUGGCGGCGUGCCUAAUACAUGCAAGUAGAACGCUGAAGUCUGGUGCUUGCACUAGACGGAUGAGUUGCGAACGGGUGAGUAACGCGUAGGUAACCUGCCUCAUAGCGGGGGAUAACUAUUGGAAACGAUAGCUAAUACCGCAUAACAGUAUUUACCGCAUGGUAGAUGCUUGAAAGGAGCAACUGCUUCACUAUGAGAUGGACCUGCGUUGUAUUAGCU